AGCCUCAGAUACCCAAUAAUGUCUAAUUCACACACACUUAUCUCAUACAAUGGAUUAUACUUAUUAUGGUUAUCAAAACCGAGAUAUAUGAUGUACCACGUACGAGGAGCUAGGUAGUGGAGCCAAUGUAUUGACAAUUUUUCAGACGUUGACUUUCUUGAAGAUAAUUCUGCCGACCCAGAUGAAGCCAUACCUUAUUGGUGAGAAUUAUGAAACUGAAAGGUCGUCAAGCCCGUUCCCAAUUACAAUGAGGAAAAACAACCUUCUUUGAAUAAAGAGUACGGAAUUACCAAAAAGCGUAGUGUAUAGUAGAAGUGUAUACUUUUCAGUAAAACAUCCAUUGUCUCGCCUCGCAACAUUAACGUUAAUCU